GACGAACGCUGGCGGCGUGCUUAACACAUGCAAGUCGAACGGAAAGGCCCUGCUUUUGUGGGGUGCUCGAGUGGCGAACGGGUGAGUAACACGUGAGUAACCUGCCCUUGACUUUGGGAUAACUUCAGGAAACUGGGGCUAAUACCGGAUAGGAGCUCCUGCUGCAUGGUGGGGGUUGGAAAGUUUCGGCGGUUGGGGAUGGACUCGCGGCUUAUCAGCUUGCUGGUGGGGUAGUGGCUUACCAAGGCUUUGACGGGUAGCCGGCCUGAGAGGGUGACCGGCCACAUUGGGACUGAGAUACGGCCCAGACUCCUACGGGAGGCAGCAGUGGGGAAUAUUGCACAAUGGGCGGAAGCCGGAUGCAGCAACGCCGCGUGCGGGAUGACGGCCUUCGGGUUGUAAACCGCUUUCGCCUGGGACGAAGCGUGAGUGACGGUAAUGGGUAAAGAAGCACCGGCUAACUACGUG
rnacentral:rRNA from 1 species